rnacentral:rRNA from 1 species
UACGUAGGGUGCAAGCGUUAAUCGGAAUUACUGGGCGUAAAGCGUGCGCAGGCGGCUUUGCAAGUCUGUCGUGAAAUCCCCGGGCUCAACCUGGGAAUUGCGAUGGAGACUGCAAGGCUAGAAUCUGGCAGAGGGGGGUAGAAUUCCACGUGUAGCAGUGAAAUGCGUAGAGAUGUGGAGGAACACCGAUGGCGAAGGCAGCCCCCUGGGUCAAGAUUGACGCUCAUGCACGAAAGCGUGGGGAGCAAACAGG